CGUCGCUAAAAAAUAAAGCAGAGAGCUAUAAAGAGUGAGAGAGAGAGAUUCUGAUUGGGCCUUCGUUUACUUUUUGGCUUUUUUUUAAAGAACGACGUCGUUCGAUACUGGUUUUCCAGCUCGUUCCGGGUCGGACACGUUAACGACGUCCGCAACCCUUCGAUGAGUGUCAGUGACUCGGCGGCCAAGGCCGAGUUGACUCAGGCCGAGGUCUACGCUCCUAGGUCGCUUCAGCUAUGGCGGACACUCCUCAACUGGCUCGCUUUCUUCUUCCAGAUCUUUCUUCAGAUCCUCCGAGGCACGCCGUCCGUGACUCAAGUCCUCUCUUACGUCGGCCUCCGCCACCAUUCUCUUCUCCCUUCUUCUCCUUCCUUCAAGCCCCUUCCGGUCGUCGAGUUGCCGGAGCUUGAGCCGCCUCCGGACUCCGUGCAGAUCAGCGCGACCGACGGUACCGACUCCGCCGCGGCUGCGGUCGAUCGGCGUGCAGAGAAGUUCACGGUGGUUCUUGAUUUGGAUGAAACUCUAGUAUGUGCAUAUGAGACAUCCAGCCUGCCUGCCUCCAUUCGUAAUCAAGCAAUAGAAUCUGGUUUGAAGUGGUUCGAGCUAGAAUGUGUAUCUUCAGACAAGGAAUGUGAAGGAAAACCAAAGGUCAACUAUGUUACAGUGUUUGAACGUCCAGGACUGCGAGAAUUCUUAAAACAACUUAGUGAAUUUGCAGAGCUUGUGCUCUUUACUGCUGGUCUUGAAGGUUACGCAAGGCCUCUUGUUGACAGAAUAGAUGUGGAAAAUCUGUUUAGUCUUAGACUAUAUCGGCCUUCAACAAUUAGCACGGAAUACCGGGAGCAUGUGAAAGAUCUUUCUUGCCUAUCAAAGGAUCUCUGCCGAAUAGUUAUUGUUGAUAACAACCCAUUCAGUUUCUUACUGCAGCCUCUGAAUGGAGUUCCAUGCAUUCCAUUUUCUGCAGGACAACCAAACGAUGGACAGCUUUUGGAGGUACUCCUUCCAUUACUGAAGCAUCUUUCUCAGCAGAACGAUGUGAGACCUGUGCUCUAUGAUAGGUUCCGCAUGCCUGAAUGGUUUCAAAAGCAUGGAAUCCCUGCUUCUGGUUGGACAGUAUAGAAUAAAAAUCGUACACAAUGAAGGCUACCUUUCCUCUCAUAAGGCACCUGAAAGGAAUUAUAGCUUGGAAGCCCAGUAAAGAGGAGAAGAAUACCCGAAGGCUCCAGCCUCCAGGCAGGGAUUGAACUUGUCCCCCCCCCAUGCUGCUGGCUUCUUCACCAUGCCUGGGCUUGAUCCAGCAAAGCUGACACCAACUCUUACGCUGCUUUGAGACUGAUCUGGCAGCCUCCCAUCGUGGGGUGCAGCCAGGAUCCUCCAGGUCAGGUCGAGGAUAAUACCUGGAUGAGUGAUAAAUGAUAUUGAUAUAGGUACUAACCAAGGAUGUUCAGUCAUUAUUCCGACAGGAUGCAUAGUACUUAGCGAUCAACAUGAACCUUUACAGCCUUGUUGGUCUCAGUACCCUUUCUGUAGAUUAAUGGUAACCUUCAGCCUUUCUCUUUUUCCCUUUUUAUUUUUAUUUUUUGUCCCUAUUUUUGGAACAA